UACGUAGGGUGCGAGCGUUGCCCGGAUUUAUUGGGCGUAAAGAGCGCGCAGGCGGUCGUUCAAGUCGAGUGUGAAAGCCCCCGGCUCAACUGGGGAGGGUCACUUGAUACUGAUCGACUCGAAGGCAGGAGAGGGUAGUGGAAUUCCCGGUGUAGCAGUGAAAUGCGUAGAGAUGUGGAGGAAUACCGAUGGCGAAGGCAGGUCUCUGGGCUGAUACUGACGCUCAUGCACGAAAGCGUGGGGAGCAAACAGG
rnacentral:rRNA from 1 species